GGAGGGCGGCGGGGUGGUUCCAGGGUAUUUCAGGCCCCAUGGGUGGUGCCACAAGCAUGUGACCUUCAGGGCUCAGAGUUGGAGACAGCAGGCGAGCUGGUUAUGCAGGGGAAAGCGGAGACCCUCACCAGAUGACAGUGCCAUGCUUUUGGACUUCCCAACCUCCAGAAAUAUGAUAUCUGUAAAUACACAAGUACAGCAGCCAUGGCUUGGGAAGGGCAUAGUGAACAGGAGCUCGUACUGCUCAGAAAUAAGGAUCUGGAUCACAGCAUCAGCAAGGACUAAGAGACACCCCUAAGGAAGAAAAGUAGUAGUAGUGGCUUGGAACCAGGACCCACAAUAUCUCCAAGGAUGCCGGUAUAUCCCACUUCAUUUCAAUGACCCACUUACUGAGUUACAUUCCAUACUACAUUAUCAAUGCCUCCAAGUCAGAGACUAUGUCUUACUUUUGUUUGUAUGUCUAGUUGCUAGAAUAGUUCUGAGUGCACAGUAGGUGAUGAGGUUUAUUUUGAUGUUGAACAAAUAUGUACAACCUGCAAAGAUAUUUUUACUCAGUGCUUUAUCCAUUCAGAUUUUGCCCUCAUGAAUCAAAACUGUAGUUAUAAAUAUAAAUAAAUGUAUAAAUGCAUA
rnacentral:lncRNA from 10 species